GAUGAACGCUGGCGGCGUGCCUAAUACAUGCAAGUCGAGCGGAGCGGCGGACGGGUGAGUACUGACUAGGAAUCUGCCCGGUAGUGGGGGAUAACGUCCGGAAACGGGCGCUAAUACCGCAUAAUAUCAGAUGAGCCUAGGUGGGAUUAGCGAGUUGGUGGGGUAAAGGCUUACCAAGGCGACGAUCCGUAACUGGUCUGAGAGGAUGAUCAGUCACACUGGAACUGAGACACGGUCCAGACUCCGACGGGAGGCAGCAGUAGGGAAUAUUGGGCAAUGGGCGAAAGUCUGAUCCAGCCAUGCCGCGUGUGUGAAGAAGGUCGUCGGAUUGUAAAGCACUUUUAGUUGGGAAGCGUUACCAACAGAGUAAGCACCGGCUAACUUCGUGCCAGCAGCCGCGGUAAUAC
rnacentral:rRNA from 1 species